CCUACGGGAGGCAGCAGUAGGGAAUAUUGGGCAAUGGAGGAGACUCUGACCCAGCCAUGCCGCGUGACGGAUGAAGGCCUUCUGGGUUGUAAACGUCUUUUGACCGGGAAGAAAAAGCCCUUGCGAGGGAAACCGACGGUACCGGUUGAAUAAGCACCGGCUAACUCCGUGCCAGCAGCCGCGGUAAUACGGAGGGUGCGAGCGUUGUCCGGAUUUAUUGGGUUUAAAGGGUGCGUAGGCGGCCCUGCAAGUCCGUGGUGAAAGCCCCUCGCUCAACGAGGGAACUGCCAUGGAUACUACAGGGCUUGAGUCCAGACGAGGUUGGCGGAAUGGAUGGUGUAGCGGUGAAAUGCAUAGAUACCAUCCAGAACCCCGAUUGCGUAGGCAGCUGACUAGGCUGGCACUGACGCUGAGGCACGAAAGCGUGGGGAGCGAACAGG
rnacentral:rRNA from 1 species